rnacentral:rRNA from 1 species
UAGUCGUGACUGAGAGGUCGAUCGACCACAUUGGGUCUGAAAAAACCCCAAUGCGUAUUAGUACAGCAGUGAGGAAUAUUGGUCAAUGGCCGAAAGGCUGAACCAGUAACUUGGAAGAAUGAAAGUGUAUUAUAAUAAUACAAUAACGAUUAACUCGUAUAAAAUUCUAAAUAGGAUAAUGAUAAUGACAAUUUCCUAUUUAUAAGUCUUGACCAAAUUACGUGCCAGCAGUCGCGGUAAUACGUAGAAGACUAGUGUUAGUCAUCUUUAUUAGGUUUAAAGGGUACCUAGACGGUAAAUUAAACUCUAAACGAGUACUUUUUUACUAGAGUUUUAUGUGAGAAGGAAGAAUUUCUGGAGUAGGGAUGAAAUACUAUACCAGAAGGACUGGUAACGGCGAAGGCAUCCUUCUAUGUAAAAACUGACGUUGAGGGACGAAGGCUUGGGUAGCAAUAAGGAUUAGAUACCCUAGUAGUCCAAGCAGAAAAUGAUGAAUGUCAUAGGCUAGAUUAUAUAUUUAGUCUAUAAAUGAAAGUGUAAGCAUUCCACCUCAAGAGUAAUA